GAUCUAGUUCAACGGUAAAUAUUGACGUUCACAAUUAAUCGCUUAUUGUUGCUGUUAAUGAUGAUAACGUGGUUACAAUUAACUCUGAUCAACAAUCAUUUUCAUCAUUUUGAAGCUGAGUGAAAGCAAGAAGAAUGUUCAACUUUGAUUGUUUAUCACAGCGCCUUCAAACAACAGUUAGAGUUAAUUAAUUAACUACAAAACAAUACAAUGUUUCAUCGUUCAUAAAAUAAUCAAUAAACAAUCCAAACAUCAACAAUCGAGUGAUUAAUCAUUAAAACAGUUUCACCUCAAUAACAAUAGUUUACCUGAAAAUGUCAACAAUCAAUUCAAUAGUUGAACAGCUUUCAAAUGAUCAAAUUUUUCUGGUCUUUCAUUAUUUUUUCAAAACACUUCACUUUAUGAUUACAAUUUAACAAUUGUAAUGAUAUUUUUACCAUUUGAUGAGCAACAAUUAGAUGAAACAAGGUGACAAUUUGAAGCUAUUCAAAGCUAUCAAUUUAAAAAUGGUUUCAAAAGACAACAGUUAAUGGUUAAUCAAGUAGGAAUAAAAGAUGAAAAUGUAUAAAAAUAUCAUUAUGUUGUUGGUUUGAAGAUCAUGCAAAUGAUCAAUUGAAACUGGAAUCGCGAACCAAUCACAGUGAUUAAAGUAUAAUCAAGUGAAUGUAGUUAAAUAUCAAUGUUAAUUGUAAAUGUAUUAAAUAUCUAAAAUAAUCAAUAUCUUGAGGGUAAACCGUUUUGAGCCAUUUUGAAUGUUGUUUGAUAAAUGGUUAGACAAAUGUUUAACCAACAGUCAAUGAACAAUAAUAGGAAAGGAGAGGAAUUAACCUUUCAAUUUACAAUUUAAAAGGUUCUUUGAGAAACCAGAUUAACCGGAUUAACCUGGGAACAUAAUGGACAAACAGAUUAUCUUAUUAAAUCAUCUUGUUUCACCUGACCAACUACUAUCAAUAUGAUUAUCAUUAUUAACCAUUAUUAUUAUCCGCAUCAUCAUUGUUACACUUGUUAUUGUUAGACAACAACGGUUGAUCCCAAUGGAUGAUGAUCAAGUAAACAUUGAUUGUUACGUUUAUUAUCGAGUUACCCUUUAUCAUUAAUCUAACCUCACUGAACAAUCAAAUUUAACGGACUACAAUCAAAUAAAAUGGCUGCAAAUUAUGAUCAUUACUGGCUACUUACAACUGUUAAUAAUAAUGUAACAAGCAAAGUCAAUUUGUUAAACAUUUACCAUUAAAAUCAUAAAUAUCUUUCAGCUUUUGACCAAAUUUAGUUUUACCAAAACCUGUUUUAAUUGUCAUCAAGUUUAAUGAACUGGUCCAUUUAAUUAGCCUUGUCACCGAUAAUGUUAAUUGUCAAGAUGUAAAAUGGAUUGUGUUCAAGUGGGAAAGUGAAAAUUGAAAUGGACAUUUGCCGUUAGCGAUGAUAGCCAAACCCUUUUAAUAGUAAUGUAAUCAUUUCCCUUCCCAUUAUUAAAGUGAUUAACAAUUUAGCAAAAUAUUCAACAGCAAAAUUGGGUUCAAUUGUGUUCAAAUAUUGCCUUUUAUUAAACACAAUGAAAAUGGUUAUCAAAAUGAUAUUUUAAACUCUGGACAGUAAUAGUUAAUUGUAAUGUAGAUUUGAGUUAAAUUUUGAUUCUAUUUGAUUAGUUGAAAGGAUUGCUAUUGAAUCUAGUUUUGCUGGUUUCAAUGGUAAAAUUGUAUUCCAAUUGGAUAUCAAUUUGAAAUGGACAAUUGUAAUUGAAAAAUGACCCUUUACCAUCUCAAUUUAGUUGUCAUUAAAAGAUUGACAAGGUUGAAAUAAUUCAUAAGUUAUUAUAAUUAAUAAUAUAAUCAUUAUCCGAGUAAAUUGUUUCAGAACCGGGAAGUGAAGCCAAUUGAAACUUAAUUAUAACUAUUAGCCAAAAAUUGAACUUGGAUUAGGAGAGUUACAAUGUUUCUUGGAUUGUGUUAUUAACCAUAAUUGUAAACCUUUUUAAACCAGUUACAAUAACCAUUUUAACCUUAACUCAAUAUUGUAAAUACAAUUAAUACAAUUGUAUUAAACAAUCAUCUUUUUUACCUUUUAACGGUUGAUGAAUAAAUUAACACUAAACUAAUCAUCAUUCAAGAGAUGAUUGCAGUUAACAAUUGAACAUUGAUUAAGACGUAAUUUUACUUGCAAUUUGGUAAAUCAAAGAUUUCCUUUGAUUUUAAAAGAUGAUUAAAUAUUGGCUGAUGAUAAAUGAUGAUCCAGUUAAUAACAAUUUAAUCAUAUUGAUGCGUAGGUUUAAUCAAUCUUUCAGGCUUUGGUGAAAAGCUUGAAAUAUUGGUUGUAAAAAUGGUUAUUAAAAUUGGAUGUUAAAUGGCUAUUAAAUGAUUUCGAAGCUAAAUGGUCAACAGUAAGUGGAUCAGGUGAGUUGUCGUUAAAGUAAUUAUGAUCAAAGGAAUGGGUCAGUUGAUUGUAAUCCUUUUUGUGUUGGUUUUAAUGUUGCAAUUAGAGUCAGAUUUAGCUUAAUGAGUGUUGAGUGUUAACAGAAGAAAUUGAAAAAUGAAAUUGAUUUGAAUUAAAACAGAUUAUUAUAACAAUUUGCUUUUCUUCCGGUCAACAUUAUUAUUAGUUUAAAUUGUGAUUGUUGUAGUCAUCAGACUACUAAUGGUAACACAAUACUUAUUGUUGAUGUUGUUACGGUUGUUGUGUUAAAUUGUUUCAGAAGUUAAAUUGAUUUUCAUUGCAAUUUAACAAUGUGAAAGUUGAUGAGAAACUGUUAAUGGUUACAAUUGUCGGAAAUUUUUCAUCUCUUCUCACCAAAGUUAAUUUACAUUUGAAUAUUUUCCCACAAUAAUCACAAAUAAACCCAUAAACACAGUUAUUUAAAUUGUCAGGCUGUCAAUUAGAUUGUAACACACACUAUGGUUGGAUAAGAGUUCAGUCUUAAUUGUGUUUAACUUGAUAACAAAAAGGAAGAGUCUAUUUGUUUUUGGGUAUUAAUAAAUCCUUGGUUAAUAUGGUUAAGCACAUUUUUUGAUUCAAAUUGGAUUACAUGUUAAUCGGGUUUAAUCUUGGCUCAGGUUGAACCCAAGAUUUAUUCAGCAUGUUAAUGUAUUGUGGAAUUACAAUGCGAAAGUGGACUAAAUUUAAUAAACUUGGUGUUUUAUUUUAAAUUUAAAACAAUUAGAGUUGAAGAUGAUAAUGGUGUUCAUCUUGUUGAUGAAUUGGAUUCAAUCCUCAUUAUAUCUUUUCCUUAUCUUGCUUAGCAACAUGAUGAAUUGGGUGAGCUAAUUUGGUUUUAUUUUUCGCCGUUGAUUCAAAGCUCACAACCAACAAUAAACAAGUUAAUAAGGUUUUAUUAUUAGAGUAACAACAAUUUACCAUUGAACAAUCAGAAACAAAAAUCAAGAUUCACUGAAAAAAAACCUCACCCAGGUUAAAAACUGGUUGAUAUAAAACAAAGAAAAAAAAGUGUGAGAUGAUGGAUUCAAUCUUGAAAAGUAUAUCUUCCAUCUUGUUAAUAAGAUUUGUAUGGAGUAAAAAAAGGGAAACAAUAACGAAAAAAUGAUUCUUAAAUUAGUUGACUUGAUGAGAUUGUACUUUUGUACUUCUCCUGUCCUGAAAGUGAAUUUUGAUUGUUUAUCUCUAUUGUUGAGGUAAAACGUGAAUCAACUCGGGUUAAAUCAAAAUGGAUUAAUGUAUCAAGAACAGCAAAGUUGAUGGUCAGAAGUUUACCAAUUAUUUGAGCACAAAAAAAAGAGAGAAAAAAUUCAACUCAACGUUUCCACCAUGAACUUGACAUGAAAAGAAAAUCAGAUCACGAAAAAUCACAUUUCCAUAUUAAUCAGCUAUGAAACUGUAAACUGUUGCCUAUUGCCGUUUAGUUGACGGUUGGCAAGCUUUUGUAAUCUGGUAAAAAACCUUGGUUCUGGGUUGAGACCAGCAGUGAACACCGAUGAAAACGUUGAUUAUAAGUAAUUGGCAUUCCUUGCUUUAAAUCCUUUAACACAAACCAUUUGUCAUCGUUGAAAGAAUAUAGUUGUAAUAAUUGUCAACACACGGUGAAACUGGUUGUCCUACAGUUGAGGUAAUCAUUUGUCUUGAAAAUGACCCUGUUUGUUAACGGAAAUUGUUGACCUAACCAAACUAACGGUUGAUUAUGUUUUAAGAAUAUUUAAAAACAAAGUAACAAAAGAAACAAUCCAAUUCUCGACUGACCUUUCCACUAAUUUAACCGCUUUUAUCCUUAUCUAAUAAGACAUCUUGUCGGUUACUAUAAACUUAAACCCUUCAUCAUCUCUUAAUUUCAAGAAACUCUUGCUGUAAGGCGCCAUCUUCAAAUCACUUCAUAAGAUAAUUGUUAGAUUUUUAUUAUUUUUUUCAUGCAACCCAUAGAUUUUCAAUUAUAACUGCUGAGUAUUAAAUUGUAAUCCAUUUUUUGAUAAUGACCGUCUUAAACAGUUUGUGGUUCAUCAUAAAAGUGAAAUCCAUUGUUGUUGACAAUCAAUUCAUCUUAAAAAAUGGUCAUGCCCUUGAUGACAUCAAGUUUAAUCUUAUGCUUUUGUUUGCUGCCAUUUUGUAGCGUCUUUUUUGUUGGUUUUUUUUCAUUUAAAAAUGGUUCUUGAUUUUGUUUGAUUACAAUGCGUUUAGCCAAAUUAUCAUCCUUGAACUUGACAAUUCAAUGUAACUGUAUCUACUCUUGAUGAUUAUCUGUUCGUGGUCAGUAAAUUGUGUUUAAAUCAACUGGUAAGACGGUUUACAUUUACAAUGGGAAGGAUUUACGUUUGCGAAAAAAAUGGAGGAGGAAAACAAGAGGAAACCAUCCAAAAUCAAAGACCAUCAAACAACUAAACCAAUAAAACAAUUAUAAUCUAAAUUAAAUUUUUCCUUUUGUUUCUAGGUCAAUCGUCUUGGUGUUUACCAUUUUAUUAUACAGAACCUGGUUAAUUAAAUUAGAACUUAAAAUUGGAACAUUCGUGAUGAAACUAUUCAAAAUAAUCAUAACCAAAAGAACAACGUUGGAAAAACAGGAGAGCAAAGGACCACCAAAAAAUUUUAUUAUCAACCAAAAAUUCAAAGUGAACUCAGAACCGACAGUUUAACCAAGGAUAAUUGUGAGCGUUAACGGAUUAAUGAUGGCUAUAUUUUCUGGCUGUGUUUUUUUCUUGGUCACAAAAAUUGGAUUCUACAUUUAAUUGGAAUUUGGCCUUUUUAAUUAAGGAUAAUGUAAAAAAGUUACUACUUUUUGGGAAACUUUCAUCACUUAUUGCAGAAUUUCUUGGAUUGCAGAACCAUUUUUUUCUCGCAUUGUCUAAGGUUAUGACCAUCUACACUUGACUGUUAUUAUGGUUAUAUAACCAAUUAUCAGCGAUGAUUUAGAUUUGUUCACGAGGGAACUUUCUGAGGUGAAAAUAUUUAGGUUUAAGGAUCAGUGAGAAUGAUGAUAAUUUUGAAAAUGUUCAUAAUUUUAGUUGGUCAAAGUUGAAAUUACAAUUUUGUCCUAUUGUGCUUUCAAUGGUUUGCUGGUUGAGCAAAUAAAGUUAUGGACAGUUUCAUAAAAUUGAUUACCAUCCGUUUUCAAGGAAACCUAAAAAUGCUCAUGAAAGACUAAUCCGAUUAAGAGAUUAUUCAUUAACAAUUUGUGAACACUAAAUUUUCAUGAGAUUACAGGUAAAGUGAAAUUAAUCAAUCAUUAAGACUUUCUGCUCUCCAAUUUGUUUGCUUGACAUACCUGAUGGUCCAAGAAUAGUUACUUUAAAGGGUAAUAAUGUUAACACUGUUAAUGACAAUAUCAAUCAUUCAUUAGAAUCCGAAAAGAAACUAUUUUAUUCCAUCAACAUGAUUUGCUUUUUCAUUCGAGACUGAAAAUCAUGAUGAAAAUGAAGAUAAUUGCAACAAAAAUCCAAACAAUUUCACUGUAAACUGUUUUUUACCUCAUCUCGCCAGACUUUGCAACAGUUGAAUGUAAACAUCGCAAUUGAACCUUUUCCUAUUCUGACCCUUAAAUUUAAUUGUUCAGCUUUUCACAUUUUUUUCUCAUUUGAUUUCAGUAUCGAUAAAGGACACUGAAACUAUCGAAACAAUUAAUUGACUAUUGGAAUUGGUGGGCACUUUACAGUUAAUUAACUUUAGAUUGAAACACUUUACAAAGUCAAGUACAACGAUUAGGGUCAUUAUCCAUUCUAAUUUUAACCGCUUACUUCGAACAGGAUCGAUUGAUGAAUUUGAUUGCCAUUGUUAUUAACUUAUCAUUUGGAUAGUCUUCACAUUUUAAAAUAUUCAAACUUGAUUACAUUUAGAUCAUUUAAUAGGAAGCUUUAGUCUUCUUUUUUAAUAUCAAAUUAUUAUUUAUAUAUUAUAGCUUGUUUUGGCAGAAAUGCAAGCGUUUAACUGUAGACAAUUAAGUUUGAAAACAUAAUGAUCAAUUUGAGAUGUUUAUUUUAAAAUGUGUGUUGGGCUAACCAAUUUAAUUAUUACAAGCCUUAAAUUUUCCAACCAAUAAUUGUCUUGAAAAAUCAGAAUUUAAUCGUAGGUUGAAACGAUUCUUGCUAUUUGAAGUGAAGUUGGUUGCAAAUUAAUUGGUUAUUGAGAGAGGAAAGUCAAAAUUUUCAAUUUCUGUCAAAACUCAAAAAUAGUGAAAAAAGAUGGUUAAAAAAGGAUGAUUUUUGCUACUUUAUCACCAUUGGUGAAAGUAAAUCAUGUUUGAUCAAUGAUCAUUAAGUUUAGUGUUUGAAAUGACAGUAAAAAUUGGGUUAUUUUGAGCAUUUAUUCAUUUUUUUGUCAGAUUUGGUUUCGUUUUCCAGUUUAAUUGGAUGUUCAUUAAAACAAUAAUGAAUCGCAAGCUCUGUGAUAGUCAACAAGUCAUGGUUAGUCAAGUGAAGCCGUGAUUAAAUACACAUCAUUUGGUGGUGAUUGGGAAAAGGAAGAGUUGAAACGACAAUUGGUUCCAUUGAAUUGAUUCAUUAUUUGGUUGGAAAACAAUGAAAAUACUAAUAUAAAUUUUAAACAUUCAACUCAUUAUUAUCGCCAUCGUAAUCAUUAGCAAAUUGUUAAAUAGUGGAAGGAUUUGUUUGCUUGGAUGCAAAUUGCAGCUUUCCGUAAACAUCUCGAUACACAAAGAAGUAAUGAAACGCUUUCGAUUGGCACUGUUUCCUCCAUUAACUAACUUUGAUGCAAAGCUAAAUGGCUAACGAUACUUUCUAGAUAAAGUCAACUAUCAUUAACGUUUUCUGGUUCGCAUUGUAUACAAAUGAUGCUGAUCACGAUGUUAAAAGCUUUCGAUGACAGGCCAACAUAUAAUCAUAUUAUAAUGGUUGUAAUGUGAAUUUCAUUGUGUCAAGUAAUGAAUUGUAAAUGGUCAAUUGAAUUAGCAGAAAAUCUUCGCUGUACUGGACAUUAGACAUUGCGAUGUAAAAGUUACCCAAAAGACGAUUAUCAAGUCGGAUUCAAAGGAACUACUCUUUCUUGAAUAAAUGAAUUGAAAUCAUCAAUUGGAGCAGCUUUCAACCAUCAUUUACUAUUGUUUCCCGAUUUUCUCAAGGAUUGUUCAUCCUGUUUCAAUGUUUGGCGAUUGCCAUCAAUAGACAAUAUCAAAACAAACAAACAACCCUUGCACCAUCAACCAUCAACAGUUUCAACACUUGAAGUCAUAGUGAAGGCAGCGAGAAGCAAAAAAACUGGUAAACCUAAAGUGUCGAGAUUCAAUCCUGUUCGAAGUCCAUUUUUUUGUCUAUUUGCUGAUUCAAAAUUGUGAAUGCAAAAAAAAGUGUAAUAAGUUGCCGUUUUUUUGCUGAUUUAGUUUCUAUCUUUGAACCAGCAGAAAAUUUCUGGUCAGGUUGACUGAUUUUAAUCAACAGCUCAGGUCGACCGCAAUAUAUUGUCAUUGAUAAUUCCAAGAUUGGAUGGAAAUCAUUUUUUUCCCUCAUUUUCAACCUUUAUUUCACAUUCAAGAUCUGCGGCAAAUGCAACCUAAACCAGCAAAAUGGUGAAGUAACCUGAUAUUAGCCUGCUUUUGGGUAAAAAACGAGAUGGACUAAUGCUAUCAUCAUCCGUAUGCUACAUUAAAAUAUGGACUAAGCAAACUGCUAUUAAGCUGUAAUUGAUUGAAUAAUCUAAUAACAGUAAAGUCCCACCAAAAUAAUCACGAGUAAAGUUGGCUUUUUUUUGCUUUACAUUUUUUAGGCCUUAAAUUUGAACGAAUCAAGGAAAGUGAAUGGCAGAAGGUGAACGCAAAAAAGGAAACGAUAAGAAGAUGACUUUCGGAUUUCAUCCUUUUUUCAACAUUUUACUGAUUCUCAAAUUAAAUUUGAUUUGCUCAGUUGAUUUUCACUUGUGUACUGUUAAUGCUGAAUUUAUGUGAAACCAGAAUGAAAUGAAGGGAGCGAAAAAAAUGGUGAUUCUUCUUUCUUCUUUUCCUUCCAAAAAGGUGUGAGCUUUAAAUAAUAAUGAAAAAAUAUAUAUAUAUUUAGACAUAUAUUUAUAUAGUCACCAUAAUCAUCAUCAAAAGCUGAUUAAAAAGACCAAUUGGAUGUAUCAAGAUUGAUCAAAAGCCAGGAGAAAAUUGGAUUGAUUGAAAGUUGAUCAGAAAAUGUGCUUCAACGGAAUUAAUAAUAGAAAGUCAAGACUUCGAGAAAGAGAUUUUGAUAAAAGGAAGAAGAGUGAAAAGAGGAACAGGACGGAAACAUUUCAAUAUAUUGAUUGACCACUCUUGGUGCUGUUGUCCGGUUACAUUUUUAUUGCUUCAUCUACGAUCUAAUUUUCAUCAAGCAAGACUGAACCGUAACAUGAGGAUAAUAUUUGAAUGGAAAGGUUGACAAUUAAAAGGAUGGAAUUGCAAAAUUGUCUAAUUUUUACAUGACAACAAGUAGCCAGCAGUUAGAUUAAAAAGACAACCCAAGGCAAAAGAUGAGGCUAAAAAUGAUUUUUAAUGAUGAUGAUGUUGAUGUGUGUGUGUGUCUGAGUAAAUGUGUGUGUUUUCUUGGCUAAUCUAUCCUAAUAAGAGGUAAAUUAAGUCACUCAAUUGAGCCUUUUUUCGUGGUUCAAUUCGUGUGUUGCAUGUAAAUUUAAUCAAAUGCUUGCAUGUAUAAACGCCACCAAUAAAAAAAAGGAGAUACUGGACAUUGAAAGUCAACAAUCAGCUAUCGUAUUAUAUUGCUGUUAUUAUGCUAAACCAAGAGAUUGAAAAUUAAACAGCAGAUUGUUUACUCAACUGGUUGCUUUUUAUUUCAACUUUCAAGUUUCGAUGAUUACGGGUUAAGAUUUGUAGCCCUUAUUUUGGCAACAUUGGAACCAGUCACCAUUUUAAAUUGCGAUUGGAUGAGGUCAAGUUUCCAGCUUCCAUUGAUGAUGCUACUUAUACCAACAAUUAAUAAUAAUGAUGUUGAAUGAUGAUGAUGAUGGUAAUGAUGCAUUUUUUCACUCUUUCAAAGACUAAAGUAAUAAUCCGGAAACCAACAAAAUCUAAUUGAGACUCAAUUAGCUGUUAAUUGUAUUCUGGAUGGAUAAGCUAUAAAACAAUUGGCCUACACUUGGAGUUAAAUAACCAGAUGUAAACAUUUUCAAUCAAAUGUACACAACCCUCUCAAACUGUCCCCCAGAAUCAUGGUAACCUAAUAAACACUCUCGUUAAAUUCAA